rnacentral:rRNA from 1 species
AUUGAACGCUGGCGGCAUGCCUUACACAUGCAAGUCGAACGGCAGCACGGGUGCUUGCACCUGGUGGCGAGUGGCGAACGGGUGAGUAAUACAUCGGAACGUACCUUAUCGUGGGGGAUAACGCAGCGAAAGCUGUGCUAAUACCGCAUACGCCCUGAGGGGGAAAGCGGGGGAUCGUAAGACCUCGCGCGAUUAGAGCGGCCGAUGCCUGAUUAGCUUGUUGGUGGGGUAAAAGCCCACCAAGGCGACGAUCAGUAGCUGGUCUGAGAGGACGAUCAGCCACACUGGGACUGAGACACGGCCCAGACUCCUACGGGAGGCAGCAGUGGGGAAUUUUGGACAAUGGGGGCAACCCUGAUCCAGCAAUGCCGCGUGAGUGAAGAAGGCCUUCGGGUUGUAAAGCUCUUUUGUCAGGGAAGAAAACUUUAGUAAUAACACUAUUAAAGCAUGACGGUAACUGAAGAAUAAGGACCUGCUAACUACGUGCCAGCCGCCGCCGUAA